GAAUAGUUGUUGGGUCAUUCUCCUGUUUGGAUUAAUGGCUUCUCCUUCGUCGUCCUUAAUCUUGUCACCCAAAGCAGCUUGUAGGAUGAUGCUUAUGAAUCGCCCGUAGAGCAUCUUUUGGGAGCUCUUUAUUUUCUUUGAGCUGAUUAACCACUUCCCAAUCCAUUCAAGCAAUAGAGCCCCAUAGUUAAGUUGUAUUUCAU
rnacentral:lncRNA from 1 species